AAAAUGUUAGGCUUAGUUGUGCGCGUUAGAGUUAGCUUUGAAAAUGUUAGGCUUCUCAAGUUAUUAAGAGGGAAAGAAGAAUAGAAGCAAAAGAAAAGAGAAAAUGUUUAUUUUUAUUUUUAUUAAUGUGCGAAGAAAGGAUCUAAACCUAUUUUUUUUAUUAAUGUGUCUGACAAGAUUUACAAAUCCUUCUCCUACGUAUCUCCGAGUGCAAU
rnacentral:lncRNA from 1 species